AAGUCGUAACAAGGUCUCCGUAGGUGAACCUGCGGAGGGAUCAUUACCGAGUGAGGGCCCCCGCGCCCGACCUCCAACCCUUUGUUUAAUCAAAUAUCUUGUUGCCUCGGGGGGUGACCCGGCCAUCGCCGGCGACCCCCCCGGUGGAACCCAACCAAAGACUCUGCAUCUCUGCGUCGGAGUAUUGAAACUAAAUCAAUCAAAACUUUCAACAACGGAUCUCUUGGUUCUG
rnacentral:misc_RNA from 1 species